ACGCUUUCGCUCCUCAGCGUCAGUUACAGACCAGAGAGUCGCCUUCGCCACUGGUGUUCCUCCACAUCUCUACGCAUUUCACCGCUACACGUGGAAUUCCACUCUCCUCUUCUGCACUCAAGUUCCCCAGUUUCCAAUGACCCUCCCCGGUUGAGCCGGGGGCUUUCACAUCAGACUUAAGAAACCGCCUGCGAGCCCUUUACGCCCAAUAAUUCCGGACAACGCUUGCCACCUACGUAUUACCGCGGCUGCUGGCACGUAGUUAGCCGUGGCUUUCUGGUUAGGUACCGUCAAGGUACCGCCCUAUUCGAACGGUACUUGUUCUUCCCUAACAACAGAGCUUUACGAUCCGAAAACCUUCAUCACUCACGCGGCGUUGCUCCGUCAGACUUUCGUCCAUUGCGGAAGAUUCCCUACUGCUGCCUCCCGUAGGAGUCUGGGCCGUGUCUCAGUCCCAGUGUGGCCGAUCACCCUCUCAGGUCGGCUACGCAUCGUUGCCUUGGUGAGCCGUUACCUCACCAACUAGCUAAUGCGCCGCGGGUCCAUCUGUAAGUGGUAGCCGAAGCCACCUUUUAUGUUUGAACCAUGCGGGUCAAACAACCAUCCGGUAUUAGCCCCNGGUUNCCGGAGUUAUCCCANUCUUACANGCAGGGUACCCACGUGUUACUCACCCGUCCGCCGNUACAUCAGGGAGCAAGCUCCAUCUGUCCGCUCGACUUCAUGUAUAAGCACGCCGCAGCGUUCGUCCUGAGCCANGAUAAAACUUAA
rnacentral:rRNA from 1 species